rnacentral:rRNA from 1 species
AGUGAACGCUGGCGGCAGGCCUAAUACAUGCAAGUCGAACGGCAGCACAGCAGAGCUUGCUCUGUGGGUGGCGAGUGGCGGACGGGUGAGGAAUACAUGGGAAUCUGCCCAGUCGUGGGGGAUAACGUAGGGAAACUUACGCUAAUACCGCAUGCGCCCUUCGGGGAAAGCCGGGGACCUUCGGGCCUGGCGCGAUUGGAUGAGCCCAUGUCGGAUUAGCUAGUUGGCGGGGUAAGUGGCCCACCAAGGCGACGAUCCGUAGCUGGUCUGAGAGGAUGAUCAGCCACACUGGAACUGAGACACGGUCCAGACUCCUACGGGAGGCAGCAGUAGGGAAUAUUGGACAAUGGGCGCAAGCCUGAUCCAGCCAUGCCGCGUGAGUGAAGAAGGCCCUCGGGUUGUAAAGCUCUUUUGUCCGGAAAGAAAAGCACGGGAUUAAUACCCUCGUGUGAUGACGGUACCGGAAGAAUAAGCACUGGCUAACUCCGUG